AGAAGAGGACGCUGGUAAUACUUUCAAUACAAGUUUCAAACUGCCAACUGCGAAGCAAGGAACUAUGGAAGCUUUAUCAACAAAGAUGUAUCGUGGAGUGUGUACGAUACACAAGUACAGAUCGGCGCUCGAUUAUAGCCUGAUUAUAGACCGAUAUUGCAUCGUAGAAUAUUACAACUUGAUGUGAACCAGGCCUAACUUAUUGACAAGCCAUGGACAAGAGACAUGUUCAAGUUAGCAUACAAUGCUUUUGGAAGUUAAUGCACAUAUGCUGAAUUUUAAAUUUAUCGCAUGAUCACCCGACCGGUAUUAGAACAUAUC